GAACGUGAGGGUGGUUUGGCUGCCACAUCCGUCACCCCACCGAUCACCAGCGUUGAUCAGGCUGAUCUGGCUGGCUAGGCAAAUGUCCCCUUUCUCCCUCACCGCUUCAUGUGCGUCCCUCUGAAGCUCAGUCAAAAAGAAAAAAAAAAAAGAGAGGAGGAACUGGUCUUCAGUCAAGGGUAAGAGCAGCUGCGUUCCCCUGCUAGAGCCCCUAACAAGCUCUCAAACGUCAAAAAGAAACCAACCAAAACUUGAUCAGGUCUCCUAGGGUCAGCUUGUUCAUUUCUCAUAGCCCAGGAAGGAAUGGUUACUG
rnacentral:snRNA from 1 species